UGCUUAUUACGAUGCAGAUGUAGAAGAAAAAGAUGAUGAUCAAGCAUUAAACCCAGGGCGCCAAGAUAGAAGCUCGAGUACUAAUCACUCGAUGCCGGUAACCAUGUAAAUUAUCAAUUUGCUGUGGAUGAACUUUGUUGAGUCGACAGUCGCUAGAUUCCACUUGACAGGAUUGUUAAUCUGAACCAUUAUCAUUCACAACUUAUUUUCUUGAGCGUGGGUAAAGUCCUCCCCCCCCCGAUGUACAAAACGAACCAGAACCAUAUUAAGGGAAAUAUAUAAUUGAUAAAGGACAAUGUCGGAUUACCGGGAUAUCUUUCGCAAGCCGGAAACCAAGAACUGGUUUAAGGCGGCAAUCGGUAUGAAAAUCACACGUGACUGUCUGCUUGACAUUGUAAAGGAGGCUACUCAAGCAUUUUAUCAUGCCAUCCGUAAAGAGAUCAACCGAAAACACGGUAUUCUGGAGAACUCUGUCUGCAGUCAGUGUCACACUCCAAACGUGCUGCCUUGUGAAACCAAUAAUAAAUGCUGCACGUAUAGGAAGUGUGUAUUUCAUAAAAUUCACAAGCCUCUAAAUUGCCCCAGUAAUAAUUUAUGCAAUUCAAUUUGUAAGGAAAUUGUAUCACACCACCGAUUUCGGAAUUGUUCAAACUCACACAGCUUUCAAGGCCCUACCUGGGUUUACACUGAAGCGAGUAAAUGGUGCGUACAAUCCUGGCAGAUUGCCAGGUGUUAUCUCUCAAACGACGGAUACAAGGACGUUAACCAAGCGGAAGAUGCUGACUUCAAUGGCAUAGUAAAUGUCAUAUACAACUGUGAAUUCUUUCAAAGGUAUUUCAAGGACGACCUGACACAAAAGGAAAACAUCUGCA